rnacentral:rRNA from 1 species
UGAUGAGGUGUAGUGGGGUAUUCAGUUAUUCUACUACUCCUUUGGUCGUUUACUGUGAGAAAUUAGAGUGUUCAAGCGGGCGUUUGUUUGAAUAGAUUAGCAUGGAAUAAUGAUUGAAGGCUUUCGUGUUCGAUUUGAUUGGUUUGUUCAUGGAAGCAAGGUUAAAAGGAACAGUUGGGGGUAUUCAUAUUCACUAGUUAGAGGUGAAAUUCUCGGAUUUAUGGAAGAUGAACAGGUGCGAAAGAUUUACCAAGGAUGUUUUCAUUAAUCAAGAACGAAAGCUAGGGGAUCGAAGAGGAUUAGAUACCCUCGUAGUCUUAGCUAUAAACGAUACCGACUAGGGGUUAGUAGAGGUCAAUGUGUCUCUUAUUAGUA